ensembl:lincRNA
AGGAAAGCCACCCACCCAGCUGCGCCCUCUGAGCUCCGUCCAGCUCGCGUGGACUCCUGCCUGCCACGGGCAGGAAACAAUUAGCAAGAACAGAACAACACCCCACAGGUGUCUAACGACCACACCCGAGCUUGUGACACGUGGAGGUGUGAGGGGUUGCCGAGCCACUUUGGACCAGACCUGGGGCGGAGCGGGGGAGCAGACAAAGAGGUGACACCUCAAGGUCUGGACGAUCACAGCUCUCCGACGCACGAUAAGCUACUGGACACACCUGCCCUGCCCCUCACAGAGAGCGUGGAAAAGCCCCCGAGUGGAAGUGGCUAACGGGAGGGACAAGAGAGAGGGGGCUUAACCUUCUUGCGUUUAUUAGUUAAAAGCUGCAAACCCACUGCCGGCUUCAAGCGCUGUGAGUAGGGACACCAUGCCGGGGGUCAGGGAGAAUGACGCCUUCCUCGUUAGUAUAGUGGUCCUGCGCUGCUUUUGUGUUGACAAAGCUCUUCUGUCUGCACCAGGGAAUAGAAUCCAGCCUACCUCCGCUGCCAGGCGGGGUCCCGUGGCCCGGAGGCGCCGCGUCUCGCCCCCGCGGCGGCAGCUGCGUGCUGCAGAACUCAGUCUCGUCGCUCUCCUCGGGCGCGCUCCUCCCCGCCCCGCCAGCCCACCCGCUCUCGGGCUCCGGCCGCCGCGCGCUGCAGAAGGUCUCGACCGUGUGGCUGCGGAGCUCCUGGACUCUCACUGGGAAGAGCAGAAACAGCAGAGCUCCAGGCGCGGCCCAGCUGAUGCCGCCAUUUCAGCUGAGCGCCUUCCCAGAUCCAAUAACACCUCCUCACACUUACACGGCUUUUCUGGACCCUCCACUUAUAAACAGGUCAUGGGGAUCCCCUCCUCCACCACCAGUGUGUACCCCCACUGGAUGAUGCACCAGUCCGCUCCCCACACACCAGCUCUCAGUGGGGAGGAGAGCAGAGUGAUGAAGCCAGUUCAGAGAGGGGGAUUAUCAGGAGGCCAUGAUGGGUAAAGGCCAGUGGGAAAUUUAGCCAGGACGGGGGAGUAACACCCCUACUCUUUUCAAGAAACGCCCUGGGAUUUUUAAUGACCACAGAGUCAGGCCCUUGGUUUUACUGUACAUCUCCUCUGGGCCUUUUCACAGUACAGUGUCCCCAUCACUAUACUGAGCAUUAGGACCCCCACAGGGUGAGGGCCCCCUACUAGCACCAGUAACACCUCUUCCAGCAGCAGCCUUAGUUUUUCCCAGGAGGUCUCCCCUCCAGGUACUGGCCAGGCUCACACUGCUGAGCUCCAGUGGGCUGCCAGCUGGGAGCUGUGAGCUACACAUUCUUUCACGACACCAAGAUCAAAACACUGGGAUCCUUCCUGGGAUCUAUUGCUUACGAACUACACAACAGGCUGGAUGGGAUGCAUGUCCUUCUGCAAUCUGAAACUGCUCCUGUCAGUGCCUUUAGGGAUAAUGAGUAUUUGUCUCAGGUCCCUCCUAGUCCGCCUAACGUGUUUUGCUCUGUUCAUUUUUUUACAAAUAGGAUAAAAACUUUAGAAAAUUAACAAAAUGAAGACAGAAAGAAAGGUGACACAGACAAACACAGAGGCUUUGAGGAAUUUCGGGUAUUGUUAUCUUCUCAACACACAGUGCACAUUAGCUCCUUGAAAAUCUAUCCUGUAAUUAAUUAGGUAUUAAUUACUUCAAGGUUUGUUCAGAAGGAGCCAAAGCCCUUCAUUUGCAGGUCGUGUCUUAGGAGCUUGAUUACUCAGUCGAAGGCGGAACAGAAGAGCUGUCCGUAGCCUACAGUACAGGAAGAGCAGCCCGUAGACUUUAAUGGAACGGAAUGAAAAAAAAUCUCAAAGACUGCAAACUAGCUGAAAUCUUAACACAUAAGUAGAACAUGAAGGUCGAAUGACAGCUCUUUUCUUGUGAAUUAAAGGGCAAGGUGUGUGAAAAACACUUUCACUCCUGCUCGAUUAUGAUCUAUGGGUUUGUCAUUGACAUUCAUCUCAGCCCCGCACUGACCCUCCGCUUCGCUCACGUUAAACUGCCGCAGAAAACCAGCGCUCAGCUCUGUGCUACUGCCGUGCAGAUCUGCGCUUGUGGAUCUUACUUCCGCCGAGGAAAUCGCCGGCCUGUCGCUCGUACUCCCGGCAGAGCUGCACCAGGCUGUGCAGGGACAGCGACUCGAGCUGGUCCUUGAUCGAGCCCAGACUGGUCAGAGAAACGCGCCCCGCCUCCAGUAGGAUCACCAGCAGCUGACCCGCGUCCCGCGCCGCCUGCAGCUCGUGCCCGGCCACCUGUCCUGACCACUGCGUUUUGAGCCGCCGGAGCUGACCGCUGUCCACCUGCCGGGAGAUCUCCGCCGCCAGCCGCUCGAAUCUCAGCCGGAGCUGCUGCUGACCCGUCUCGCACAUCACUCGGGCAAACCAGGAGACCGCGCCCGCGGGAGCUUACAGUAAACCCAGAGCUCAAGAAGUGAGAACCGAAAGUAAAACUGCUUCUCUGUACGAGGCGGAAGAGAGACUGGCCUCUCCGCUCCCACAGAGCGGGGCUUGUGAGUCUCUGUAGUUUUAAAAACCGGGAGUCACUUAAGGAGCGAAGCCCAGCUGAUCACAUCGCUGUGUUGAAAGUGGUAGAAGCUCAGACAGAUAUCGGGACAAAACUGUACUAAAACAGUCUUUACAUUUUGAGUUUCAAAUCUAACCUAUACUGGUUUAGGAAUGAGAAGCCACUAGUACUUCCUCCACAGAAUUGUUAGUGGUAAGUAAAGGACAAUCUUCUAAAAGCGUUCACAUCAUCAAAAAUCCUGCUAAAUUAUCUGGACAUCACGUUGGCUGCACAGUAUAAAUUGUAAAAGCAAGGGAUGUGCUUUUACUCGGGCUCCGCUGUCUUGUGCAAAGAUAACUGAAGCUGUAAAAACACAGAGAAACCGAUAUAAACACAGACAGCAGGUCUGGAUUGACCUGCAACGUUGUAUAAAGAAAGACUCUGUUACUGACAUUACUGUUAAAGAAAUACACGUUAUUGUUAGAUUUUAAUCCAAUUGACAAUAAUAUGAAAAUAUCAGUUGUUAUCUACUUGAUCAUUAUACUCGCACGGUAUUAUGCACUUUAAGUGAAAUAGCCUGGGACGAGAACCAUGUUUGAACAGUAAAAUAAACCUAAAGGCGUGUCUACGGACUAUGCAGGAACACGAAAGCUGUGUGGACCUCAUCUUUAUUUACCUAUUCAUCUUUUUUUUAAUAAAGUGCAGGUGUAUUACAUAUGUCCCACUGAAGAUGUUAUUGAUGUGUCCUAUGUACUCUUCUUUGUAUUGUAUGUAUUUUUG